UCAUAAUUAGGGGUAUGUGUUAAGUAUUUUAUGUUCGCGGAGGAAAUGAGUUGUUAUCUUCUUAUUUAAGGGAUUUUUUCAACUUAUGAUCUAGUUUUGAAAAUUAAAAAUUUGGUCACAAUAUAAUGUUUAUUUCUUAUUAUCGUAUCAGAGUCCGUAAUCCAUUUCUAUUUCUUGGUUAUUUAUUCUGUAUUGGUUCUUAAUGUUAUAUUGUCCACGCUCCAGUUAUUCAGUCUUGAGGGGGUGUAAGGAUAUGUUACAUACAUACAUAUUGAUGGAGGAAAUGGAUCGAUUUGGCAAUCAUAAUACUUUAAGCUAGUUUUUGAGAUUGAAUUAUGUCUAACGUUUAUUCAUCAUGGUAUCAGUCUGUUAGACUCAGACUUGUUCCUAUGUUUUGGUUAUUUACUAAAUGUUUGAUAUCAAUAUUAUGUUUGUCCACGCCCUAGAUGUUUAGUCCUUGGCGUACUUACAGAAAGUGUUAAUGUCACACAUAUUGCUCGAGGAAAUGAAUCGUUAUCUCCUUAUAAUGGUUUCGUGCAAUCAUAAUCUUUUAAGCUAACUUUUGAGGUUGAGUUAGGUCCAACGUUCAUUUCUUAUUGAUAAAGGGGAUAUAUGCUAUGUUAUCUCGAGUGACUAUCUUAUAACUCAACAUAAUUAGCUUUUGGAAAUGGAUUUAGUAUAGUGUGUUGUUCAACAUACUACUCUCCUUAUAUUCUACUCGUGGAAUUACACGGGGUAUGUUGUUGUUGUGGCAUGGUGCGGUCAUCUAUCAAUGUAUCUGAGCCUGCAUUUUCAAGAACAAUAUCAAAUCAGCAACUUCUUCCAGCUUUAAUAGAAGUAUUGGAUGAUUUGAUAUUCCUCGUAUCAAACUUAUUCAUUCUAAGUAAUGUUGUUUCGUUUGUAUAGACAAGUGCAAUUUCAGGUACAUUCAUAUUGUUCAGUCACUAAUGUGGUGCAGAUAUCUUGAAACCUUACUAACACGAAAUGGUGAAUAAAGUUGUCGUGUUUCUACAGGUAAUUUCACAUUUACCAAUCUACAACAUGUUUAUUUGUUCACGCGUAUAUGAGUAAAUGACAUAAGCUUUUAUCUGUCAUAUCUUGUUUCAUCACAAGUACUUUACUUUCCGGGGUUCAAUAUGAGCAUUUUUUUUGGUUUUAAGUCUCUGGUGUUCUCGACAUAAACUUCAUUUGCUGAUCAGGACACUGCAGAGGACUCUGCAUAUGUAUAUGAUUCUAUAAUGUUUUUAUCUGAAAGCUAAUCUCGGUAACUGCUACUGAAGAUACAAGUCGAAUGCAUUACCUUGAUUAUCUUGAAAAGGUGAAUAAAGUUUCUAUCUUUACGUCUCCUUUAAGCAGGCAUCGUAUAAUUAUUCUGUUUCCUGGAGCUGUCGAUUAACUAACUAACUGGACUUUUUAGACUUCUGGUUUAUGCAGGUUGUUAAAUGCUUUUGUUCCGAAUCUUUACCUUUGAACACAGCAAAGAAGUAAGAAAUGGCUGUUGUUUCUGCAAUGCCAUUACUGUUAAAUUCAGCUUCUUGUGCUACGAAAAAGGGCGUCCUGUAACAGAUCGUGGCAAGUCCCAGCUUAGCUUGACGCGAUAAAAUAAGGAGUCGAAGGUAAAACUUCAAGCAAGACUAUUGGAGGCGUUCAACGAAAGUAUUGAUCAUGUCAAUAACUCUUUCGUCUUCUGUAUAGUUGUAGAAAUUAGGUCUUAUUCCUAACUCGCACCACAAAAGCUAGCUCAAAGGGAGGAGGAUUGUCCAAGCCUUAUAAGGAAUCCACCCAUCUCAUUAACCACCACCGAUGUGGAACUUUUGUCAUUCUUUAACAAUAGUCCUUGUGUUUUUGCCCUCGAGUUUCUUUGUCUGUGCACUAAAAAGUAUGUGCUCACAGACUCCGCGUUCACGUCUAAGUAAACACGAGGCUGAAAAUUUUGUUGAUGGAAUAUCAAAAUGUUGUGUAAACUUGCUCAUACCACAAAAACAGAUACAAGUUUUUGCCUUAUAUGUAUGCACUUAUGUGGCUAAGUUUUUGCUACUCCCUCUGUUUCAAACAGAACGUCUCUUUUCCUUUAAAACAACUCUUUAGUUUCUCACUUUCCACGUAACAUGUUCAAGACACAAGAUUCAAAAGUCUUCUUUACUUUUGCUAAGUCAAAACCAGACAGUCAAAUUGAAACGAAGGGACAGGUUUUUCUAUGGUUUCUUUGACCUUACACAUUCCCUUUUCACUUUUCUAUGUA